rnacentral:rRNA from 1 species
CACUCCUACGGGAGGCAGCAGUGGGGAAUUUUGGACAAUGGGCGAAAGCCUGAUCCAGCCAUGCCGCGUGCAGGAUGAAGGCCUUCGGGUUGUAAACUGCUUUUGUACGGAACGAAACGGCCUUUUCUAAUAAAGAGGGCUAAUGACGGUACCGUAAGAAUAAGCACCGGCUAACUACGUGCCAGCAGCCGCGGUAAUACGUAGGGUGCAAGCGUUAAUCGGAAUUACUGGGCGUAAAGCGUGCGCAGGCGGUUAUGUAAGACAGUUGUGAAAUCCCCGGGCUCAACCUGGGAACUGCAUCUGUGACUGCAUAGCUAGAGUACGGUAGAGGGGGAUGGAAUUCCGCGUGUAGCAGUGAAAUGCGUAGAUAUGCGGAGGAACACCGAUGGCGAAGGCAAUCCCCUGGACCUGUACUGACGCUCAUGCACGAAAGCGUGGGGAGCAAACAGGAUUAGAAACCCCGGUAGUCCCAUG